rnacentral:lncRNA from 1 species
CUAAAUGAUAAUGUGGGUGGAUUCGAGGACCUCCUUUUCUGAAGUGAAAGAAGGGACAUCCACCAUCAUGAAUCCCCUCCUAGUAGAGGCGAGUGCAGGUCCUGACUAGGUUUUAGUCUCUAUUCUUUCUCGUUUCGGGUAUACUUACGAGCUAGGAUAUCUUGGAAAGUCUAACUCGGGACCAUCUGACCGGACUACCAAGCUUGACUAUCAAGCCGUUAUCUUUCAUUUAGUCAAUACCAGU